rnacentral:rRNA from 1 species
UACGUAGGGGGCAGGCGUUAAUCGGAAUUACUGGGCGUAAAGCGUGCGCAGGCGGUUUGGUAAGUCAGAUGUGAAAUCCCCGGGCUCAACCUGGGAAUUGCAUUUGUGACUGUACGGCUAGAGUGUGUCAGAGGGGGGUAGAAUUCCACGUGUAGCAGUGAAAUGCGUAGAGAUGUGGAGGAAUACCGAUGGCGAAGGCAGCCCCCUGGGAUAACACUGACGCUCAUGCACGAAAGCGUGGGGAGCAAACAGG